rnacentral:rRNA from 1 species
UGGGGGACAACGUUUCGAAAGGAACGCUAAUACCGCAUACGUCCUACGGGAGAAAGCAGGGGACCUUCGGGCCUUGCGCUAUCAGAUGAGCCUAGGUCGGAUUAGCUAGUUGGUGAGGUAAUGGCUCACCAAGGCGACGAUCCGUAACUGGUCUGAGAGGAUGAUCAGUCACACUGGAACUGAGACACGGUCCAGACUCCUACGGGAGGCAGCAGUGGGGAAUAUUGGACAAUGGGCGAAAGCCUGAUCCAGCCAUGCCGCGUGUGUGAAGAAGGUCUUCGGAUUGUAAAGCACUUUAAGUUGGGAGGAAGGGCAGUAAAUUAAUACUUUGCUGUUUUGACGUUACCGACAGAAUAAGCACCGGCUAACUCUGUGCCAGCAGCCGCGGUAAUACAGAGGGUGCAAGCGUUAAUCGGAAUUACUGGGCGUAAAGCGCGCGUAGGUGGUUUGUUAAGUUGAAUGUGAAAUCCCCGGGCUCAACCUGGGAACUGCAUCCAAAACUGGCAAGCUAGAGUAUGGUAGAGGGUGGUGGAAUUUCCUGUGUAGCGGUGAAAUGCGUA